rnacentral:rRNA from 1 species
AACUUAAAAAUUUUUGGUUGGGGCAACCGCGAAGAAAAAAAAACCUUCGAAAAUAAAAAAAUAAACAAAUUUAAAACUAAAAAUAAAUGACCCAGAAACUGAGCAAGGGAAAAAGUUACCGUAGGGAUAACAGCGUUAUUUUUUCUGAGAGCUCAUAUUGACGAGAAAGUUUGCGACCUCGAUGUUGGAUCGGGGCCUCCUAGAGGUGCAACAGCCUCUAAAGGCGGGUCUGUUCGACCCAUAAAGCCCUACGUGAUCUGAGUUCACACCGACGUAAGUCAGGUCAGUUUCAAUCUA